rnacentral:rRNA from 1 species
AGAGAUAGUGCAUAAAUAGUACAGUAAUGGAAAACCUUGAAAACUGUUCACAUGUCAGGUACAUUUUACCGUACUUAUUGCAUUACGGGUGUACGAGU